GAUGAACGCUGGCGGCGUGCCUAAUACAUGCAAGUCGAGCGAACGGACGAGAAGCUUGCUUCUCUGAUGUUAGCGGCGGACGGGUGAGUAACACGUGGAUAACCUACCUAUAAGACUGGGAUAACUUCGGGAAACCGGAGCUAAUACCGGAUGAUAUUUUGAACCGCAUGGUUCAAAAGUGAAAGACGGUCUUGCUGUCACUUAUAGAUGGAUCCGCGCUGCAUUAGCUAGUUGGUAAGGUAACGGCUUACCAAGGCAACGAUGCAUAGCCGACCUGAGAGGGUGAUCGGCCACACUGGAACUGAGACACGGUCCAGACUCCUACGGGAGGCAGCAGUAGGGAGUCUUCCGCAAUGGGCGAAAGCCUGACGGAGCAACGCCGCGUGAGUGAUGAAGGUCUUCGGAUCGUAAAACUCUGUUAUUAGGGAAGAACAUAUGUGUAAGUAACUGUGCACAUCUUGACGGUACCUAAUCAGAAAGCCACGGCUAACUACGUG
rnacentral:rRNA from 1 species